rnacentral:rRNA from 1 species
AGGAAUAUUGGACAAUGGGUUAGCGCCUGAUCCAGCCAUCCCGCGUGAAGGACGACGGCCCUAUGGGUUGUAAACUUCUUUUGUACAGGGAUAAACCUACCCUCGUGAGGGUAGCUGAAGGUACUGUACGAAUAAGCACCGGCUAACUCCGUGCCAG